rnacentral:rRNA from 1 species
AUGUCUUCUAUUGAAAAGGAACUGGAUGGAGCAAGAUCUUCAUGCCUUAAAUUGCUAAAGGAUCUCCUACACUCGCUUAAUUUACCCACUGGAGUAAACAAAAACUGGGUCCAGAACUACUGCAUACAUAAUGCAACACUUUUUUUCUAUACUACAUCUAGCUCUUAUCGGUUACAUCACAUGGAGAUUGCACCCCUCGAAGUAUUAAUUGUUGAUGAGGCUGCUCAAGUGCGGGAGUGUGAAUUGGUGAUCCCAUUACGUCUGCAUUGGUUAAAACAUGUUGUUUUGGUAGGAGAUGACUGUCAGCUGAGUGCAAUGGUUAAAAGCAAAGUAUGCAAAGAAGCUGGAUUUGUGACAAGUUUAUUUGAGAGAUUGGUUAUGCUCAAAUUUGAUAAGCAUUUGUUGAAUAUACAGUAUCGCAUGAAUCCUUGUAUCAGCUUAUUUCCAGAUGCUCAGUUUUAUGAGAGGAAGAUUUUAGAUGGUCCCAAUGUCAUGUCUCCUAGUUAUAAUAAGGAUUACACGUGCCUCCCUUUUGGGAGCUACACGUUUAUAAAUCUCACUGAUGGAAGGGAAGACACAGAGGGCAUGGGAAACAGUCGCAGAAACAUGGUUGAAGUUGCUGUUGUUUUGCACCUAAUCAAUACCAUCUUUAAAUUUUUUUCUGCAGCUUGGAAAAGGACAGACCAAGGGCUCAACAUCGGUGUGGUCUCUCCAUAUAACGCUCAAGUUGAUGCAAUUAAAAAUCGACUUGGCCAAAAAUAUAAUACAUGUGAUGGCUUUCAUGUGCGAGUGAAGUCCAUUGAUGGUUUCCAGGGAGAAGAGGAUGAUAUAAUAAUACUAUCAACUGUUAGUUCCAACGGGAGAGGAGUUGUUGGAUUUCUUGCUGAUAAUCGAAGAACAAAUGUUGCUCUUUCUAGAGCAAGGCACUGUCUUUGGAUUGUUGGGAAUGCUCAUACACUUCAUAAAAGUGGGACCGAAUGGACAGACCUUGUUGCUGAUGCAGAGAGACGUAAAUGUAUUUUCAGUGCCACUAAUGACGCAACCAUCUGUAGGUUGGUUUUGCUAGUAAAGCAAGACCUUGAUGAACUUGAGGAUCUUCUUAGUGCUGAAUCAGCGGUUUUCAGCAAUACCAGAUGGAAGGUCAUUCUUAGCGACGAGUUUAGAAAGUCUUUCACCAAACUAAAAUCACCACAGCUCAGGAAGGAAGUACUCCAAAAUCUUAUCAAACUUGGAGAUGGUUGGAGGACAACAGUCAAGAACCUUGAUAUGCCUGGUGUUUCUCAUCUUGUAAAAGUAUACAAGGUCUGGGACUUGUAUCUUGUUUGGAGUACUGACAUUGAUAAAACUGAAAGAACGUAUUCCCAGAUAAUAAGAAUUUGGGACCUACUGUCACAGCAAAAUGUUGCAAGGAUUGUUCAACGCCUCGAGAAUCUAUUCUAG